rnacentral:rRNA from 1 species
AUGGUUGUGGCUCGUGGAUUUCGUGCUCUCAAUAAGGCUCUGAUUACCGUGACCCCGAAAAAGCCGGAUGCUGAGCGAGUUGGUGACUACCGACCAAUCAGCUUGGGGCAUAGUUUCUCUAAAUCAUUUUCCAAGGCAUUGUCCAACAGAGCCAGAAGGAGGAUGGCCAAGUUAGUCCAAGUCAAUCAAUCAGCGUUCAUCAAAACUAGAAAGCUCCAUGAUAAUUUUCUUCUAUUGUUACAAGUGGAAAGGAGUUACAUGCCAAGAAGAUCAAAGGCGUGA